rnacentral:rRNA from 1 species
GGCGGCUAUGGCGCCGGGGAAACACCUCUUCCCUUUCCGAACAGAGUAGUUAAAACCGGUCGCGCCAAUGGUACUGCAUUGCUGUGGGAGAGUAGGAAGCUGCCA